rnacentral:lncRNA from 1 species
UUUGAAACCAAUAUCAAAGUUUGGUGACAAUUAUUGCUGUGAUUAAUCCUCACUUGUUUCCAACGUUAAAAAAUCAAGUGUAUUGAAAGAGUAUAUUCCUAUGCUCCCCGCCUGUGAGAAGAUUCCCAAUUGCAAUGAACAAGAUGUGGAUUGCAGUUUCAGCCAUAGUGGUGGCCUUCCUCGCCAUAACUUCAUUUUCUCCACUUGAAAAAUUCUAUCACAACUUCGCAGUUCCUCGUAAGUAAACAUAAUCAAAAUCAAAUUUCAUUGAAUUGUAAAUAACUUUGUGUGUGCCGGUACACCAGUGUACGAUCUCCUGUAGCACAACGUUCUUACCCAUCGCCUCCUGUGCUCCCGAAGAAAAUUACAGUAACUUGUUAAAACUGUUAAUGAGUUUUUGGGUUUUACGGGCAUAGAUAUAUAUUCACAAUGUAAAAUGUAAUGAUGGUCUUAGAAAUUUGUAUUAUUAUCUGAGCUUUUUCUUGUAUUGAUUUUUUGGGUUUGCAGAAUCGUUUUUGCAUGGUGUAGUAGCAGAUUUGUUGGUGACAAACGGGACUAUAUAUACCAGUAACGUCAAUCUUCCCUUUGCUGACUCCAUGGCAGUUCGCAAUGGUCGGAUUCUCAGAAUUGGCAACUAUUCCUCCAUGCAGGUCUUUUGUUUAUUCCCCCUUCUGAACUUGAUUUUCAUUCAGUUUCACUCGUACAAGUACUCGCAUUUGGAAUUUUUUUAUUUUAAUUUUAAUUUUUAUUUUGGUUGAAGCACGUAAAAGAGGAUAUCAUUUAUAAAAUUAGCAUAGGUUGGAUGAAAUGACAAAGCAAGUAGGAAUUCUUCAUGAUCGAUAGACACUAUAUAGUUAAUAGGCAAGUUUUACGAAAUGGUUAAUUGACCAGUUAUGCUUUUUAGUAUUGAAUUGUGGGCCGUUUGAAGAACAAAAUGUCGAAAAGAUGAAAGUGACGUGGGAUGGUUUUCUUUAGAACAGAUAAAGAAGAAAUGAGAACAUAUGUCAAGAAGUGAAGGUUCACCAAUUGAUAACAAAUCAAGAGAAAGACGACUGAGAUUGUUGCAGCAUGCCUUGUGCGUACACCUUAAAAAUCUCUUGUUUAUUGAGUGUAGCAACAGAAGAACAAAUUAGACUAGGAAUAUGUACACCAAUAUUAACAUGACCAAAUGUGAUUGUAAAGGAUUUGAUUCCGCGGAAUAUUUCGAUAGCUGUGAUGAUAGAGCUGAGUAAAGUUAUUCAUGUAGGCAACCUAAAAUUAUCCCCUUUCUGAAAAUCAGUACAGGUUAUAUUAGCCUGGAGAAUAUUUUACUCUCUUCCAUUUUCUAUUUACUUGCAUAAUUGUAUUUGGUUUUUGGGGUAUCUCG